rnacentral:rRNA from 1 species
GGCGAACGGGUGAGUAUGCAUCGGAACGUGUCCUCUUGUGGGGGAUAACCAGUCGAAAGACUGGCUAAUGCCGCAUGUGCUCGCGAGAGGAAAGCAGGGGACCGCAAGGCCUUGCGCGAGAGGAGCGGCCGAUGCCGGAUUAGCUAGUUGGUGGGGUAAAGGCCCACCAAGGCGACGAUCCGUAGCUGGUCUGAGAGGACGACCAGCCACACUGGGACUGAGACACGGCCCAGACUCCUACGGGAGGCAGCAGUGGGGAAUUUUGGACAAUGGGCGCAAGCCUGAUCCAGCCAUGCCGCGUGUGUGAAGAAGGCCUUCGGGUUGUAAAGCACUUUCGGCCGGAACGAAAUCGUUCCCGCUAACACCGGGGAUGGAUGACGGUACCGGAAGAAGAAGCACCGGCUAACUACGUGCCAGCAGCCGCGGUAAUACGUAGGGUGCGAGCGUUAAUCGGAAUUACUGGGCGUAAAGUGUGCGCAGGUGGCCGCGCAUGUCGAGUGUGAAAUCCCCGGGCUUAACUUGGGAAUUGCGCUCGAAACUACGUGGCUCGAGUGUGGCAGAGGAAGGUGGAAUUCCACGUGUAGCGGUGAAAUGCGUAGAGAUGUG